rnacentral:lncRNA from 1 species
CCCAAUGAUAUGCCUUCAUAUGUUUGAUUCAGGACCUUAUUUGAACAUUGCAGGGGAAAUUAAAAGAGCCAAAUGCUGUGUCUUAGGAGAUACACCAUGUAUUCGGAGAAUGCCAUCUUAUGGUCUCAAUUACUCUUCCAGAUACAUAAGAAGCAUUUUAAUUGUUUUCUGAAGAUUGCCCAAGAAGUCACACAUUUCUCAUCAAUCAACAACUGUAGGAAAGGCCAUGUGUGGACACAGCAAGAAGGCGGCCAUUUGCAAGUCAGGAAGAAACCCCUCACCAGAACUUGACCAUGACGUCACCCUGAUCUUGGACUUCUAGCCUCCCGAUCUGUGAAAAAAUAAAUUUCUGUUGUUUAAGCCACCUAGUCUUUAGUUACGGCCGCCAGAACAGACUGAUACUCCAGUGAACUAACCACAAUCUAUGUUAAGGCUGGAGAUCCAGAACAAAAGUAUGUGACAGAACAUCAGACUGUUGCCAGACUAAUCCACCAAGGAUGCUGAGAUUUU